CCUACGGGAGGCAGCAGUGAGGAAUAUUGGUCAAUGGACGAGAGUCUGAACCAGCCAAGUAGCGUGAAGGAUGACUGCCCUAUGGGUUGUAAACUUCUUUUAUAUGGGAAUAAAAUGUUCCACGUGUGGGUUUUUGUAUGUACCAUAUGAAUAAGGAUCGGCUAACUCCGUGCCAGCAGCCGCGGUAAUACGGAGGAUUCAAGCGUUAUCCGGAUUUAUUGGGUUUAAAGGGAGCGUAGGUGGAUUGUUAAGUCAGUUGUGAAAGUUUGCGGCUCAACCGUAAAAUUGCAGUUGAAACUGGCAGUCUUGAGUACAGUAGAGGUGGGCGGAAUGCGUGGUGUAGCGGUGAAAUGCUUAGAUAUCACGAAGAACUCCGAUUGCGAAGGCAGCUCACUGGACUGCAACUGACACUGAGGCUCGAAAGUGUGGGUAUCAAACAGGAUUAGAUACCCGAGUAGUC
rnacentral:rRNA from 1 species